rnacentral:tRNA from 1 species
GGGCCCGUAGCCUAGUAUGGAUUAGGGCGCUGGCCUGCGAAGCCGGAGGUCCUGGGUUCAAAUCCCAGCGGGCCCA